GACGAACGCUGGCGGCGUGCUUAACACAUGCAAGUCGAGCGGAAAGGCCCUUCGGGGUACUCGAGCGGCGAACGGGUGAGUAACACGUGAGUAACCUGCCCCAGACUUUGGGAUAACCCUCGGAAACGGGGGCUAAUACCGGAUACGACACAGCUUCGCAUGGGGUCUGUGUGGAAAGUUUUUCGGUUUGGGAUGGGCUCGCGGCCUAUCAGCUUGUUGGUGGGGUGAUGGCCUACCAAGGCGACGACGGGUAGCCGGCCUGAGAGGGCGACCGGCCACACUGGGACUGAGACACGGCCCAGACUCCUACGGGAGGCAGCAGGGGGGAAUAUUGCACAAUGGGCGGAAGCCUGAUGCAGCGACGCCGCGUGAGGGAUGACGGCCUUCGGGUUGUAAACCUCUUUCAGCAGGGACGAAGAGUAAGUGACGGUACCUGCAGAAGAAGCGCCGGCCAACUACGUG
rnacentral:rRNA from 1 species